UACGUAGGGGGCAAGCGUUGUCCGGAUUUAUUGGGCGUAAAGAGCGUGUAGGCGGCCAUACAGGUCAGCUGUGAAAACUCGAGGCUCAACCUCGAGACGUCGGUUGAAACCGUAUGGCUAGAGUCCGGAAGAGGAGAGUGGAAUUCCCGGUGUAGCGGUGAAAUGCGCAGAUAUCGGGAAGAACACCCGUGGCGAAGGCGGCUCUCUGGGACGGUACUGGACGCUGAGACGCGAAAGCGUGGGGAGCGAACGAG
rnacentral:rRNA from 1 species